UUGUGUUAAGGAUAGAAGCGGCAUCCUUUUUUGUGUUUCACGCAUUUUAAAGCUACUAUAGUGUUAAAAUGGCACCUGAAAUUUGACUAAAAAACACAGGUUUUCAACAAAAAAGAUAUAGCGGAUAGCCUGACCUGCA
rnacentral:sRNA from 1 species